rnacentral:rRNA from 1 species
UAUAUUGUAUCUUUGAUCUAACACGUCUUCCCCUAGUAACUGCGAGUGAAGCGGGAAAAGCUCAAAUUUAAAAUCUGGCAGUCUUUGGCUGUCCGAGUUGUAAUCUAGAGAAGUGCUAUCCGUGCUGGACCGUGUAUAAGUCUCCUGGAAUGGAGCGUCACAGAGGGUGAGAAUCCCGUCUUUGACACGGACUCCCAGUACAUUGUGAUGUGCUCUCAAAGAGUCGAGUUGUUUGGGAAUGCAGCUCUAAAUGGGUGGUAAAUUCCAUCUAAAGCUAAAUAUUGGCGAGAGACCGAUAGCGAACAAGUACCGUGAGGGAAAGAUGAAAAGAACUUUGGAAAGAGAGUUAAACAGUACGUGAAAUUGUUGAAAGGGAAACGCUUGAAGUCAGUCACAUUGGCCAGGGAUCAACCCUGCUUUUUUGCUGGGUGUACUUCCUGGUUGAUGGGUCAGCAUCAAUUUUGACCACUGGAAAAAGGCUGAGGGAAUGUGGCAUCUUCGGAUGUGUUAUAGCCCUUGGUUGUAUACAGUGGUUGGGAUUGAGGAACUCAGCACGCCGCAAGGCCGGGUCUUUGACCACGUUCGUGCUUAGGAUGCUGGCAUAAUGGCUUUAAUCGACCCGUCUUGAAACACGGACCAAGGAGUCUAACAUGCCUGCGAGUGUUUGGGUGGAAAACCCGAGCGCGUAAUGAAAGUGAAAGUUGAGAUCCCUGUCGUGGGGAGCAUCGACGCCCGGACCAGAACUUUUGGGACGGAUCUGCGGUAGAGCAUGUAUGUUGGGACCCGAAAGAUGGUGAACUAUGCCUGAAUAGGGCGAAGCCAGAGGAAACUCUGGUGGAGGCCUCGUAGCGAUUCUGACGUGCAAAUCGAUCGUCGAAUU